rnacentral:rRNA from 1 species
AUUGAACGCUGGCGGCAGGCCUAACACAUGCAAGUCGAGCGGAUGAAGGGAGCUUGCUCCUGGAUUCAGCGGCGGACGGGUGAGUAAUGCCUAGGAAUCUGCCUGGUAGUGGGGGAUAACGUCCGGAAACGGGCGCUAAUACCGCAUACGUCCUGAGGGAGAAAGUGGGGGAUCUUCGGACCUCACGCUAUCAGAUGAGCCUAGGUCGGAUUAGCUAGUUGGUGGGGUAACGGCCUACCAAGGCGACGAUCCGUAACUGGUCUGAGAGGAUGAUCAGUCACACUGGAGCUGAGACACGGUCAAGACUCCUACGGGAGGCAGCAGUGAGGAAUAUUGGACGAAGGGCGGAAGAAUGAUCCAGCCAUGCCGCGUGUGUGAAGAAGGUAUUCGGAUUGUAAAGCACUUUUAGUUGGGAGGAAGAGCAGUAAGAUAAGACCUUGCUGUUGUGACGUUACCAGCAGAAUAAGCACCGGCUAACUUCGUG